CCAAAUUUUAUCAUCAGGAUUUCUGUGUAUCAGUAUUGAUUCAGUGUCUGAUUGUUUCAUUGUGUUUUCAUUGAUCGCUGCUCCAACGACUUCAAACCCAAACUGGACUUUCUGAUCCUUUUCAGCAUCAGUCCCAUCAGCCUCCACACCAACACCAACAACAACUCAGAGUCAAAGCUCCAGUUCAGGAAGUUUCACAUCAUCAGUUUCCCCUGAAACCACCGACCAGCUUACAGCAUCAGUCCCAUCAGCCUCCACACCAACACCAACAACAACUCAGAGUCAAAGCUCCAGUUCAGGUAGUUUCACACCAUCAGUUUCCCCUGAAACCACCGACCAGGUUACAGGUUACUUCCUGCCUCUGGUUGUCGGUGUGACUUGUGUUUUUGUGCUGCUGGCUGUUUUUCUGCUGCUCCUCUACAAAUGGAAGGCAAGAAGGAACUUUGCUGUGAACACCGGAGGAAAUGCAGACGACAUACACAUGGAGGCAUCUGUCACCUAUGAGAACUUGGCUCCAGUCUCCACAUGUGAAGAGUCCAUCUACCAGACCCUCCAACCAGCCAGCACAGAUCAGGACCAAACCUACUCUACACUUUAAGACAGCAAACAAAUGAUAAUGUUUGGAUUUGAAUCUGGAUUUUGUGCAGCUUAUAAUGUUCUGCAAGGUUCCAUUUGUUGCUUUACUGUUGGCAGAUAUUAUGUAAGGGAUAAUGUACAGCCAGCGGGUCAUUGUUGUGAAAGAAUCCCAGACAGGGUGUUGCUGCACCCCGAUGCAAAGUCCUGAAGGGGAUUCUUUCACAACAAUGACCUGCUGGCUGUACAUUAUCCCGCUUAUUACACGGCUACUUACUGAAUAAAUCAAUAUUUUGACACAAAAACGGUCCGUCAGAGUCCGACAUCAGAGCUGCGCCCAUAGC